ACACGACUACAUUAGAUACCCGGGUAGUCCCAGCCCUAAACGAUGCGCGUUAGGUGUAUCGGUGACCACGAGUCACCGAGGUGCCGAAGGGAAACCGUGAAACGUGCCGCCUGGGAAGUACGGUCGCAAGGCUGAAACUUAAAGGAAUUGGCGGGGGAGCACAACAACGGGUGGAGCUUGCGGUUUAAUUGGAUUCAACGCCGGAAAUCUUACCGGGACCGACAGCAACAUGAAGGCCAAGCUGAAGACUUUGCCGGAUUAGCUG
rnacentral:rRNA from 1 species